CGUGCCGCCGCUAACGCAUUAAGUAUUCCGCCUGGGGAGUACGGUUCGCAAGAUUAAAACUCCAAAGGAAUUGACGGGGACCCGCACAAGUAGCGGAGCAUGUGGUUUAAUUCGAAGCAACGCGAAGAACCUUACCUACACUUGACAUCCCUUGCAUUACUCUUAAUCGAGGAAAUCCCUUCGGGGACAAGGUGACAGGUGGUGCAUGGUUGUCGUCAGCUCGUGUCGUGAGAUGUUGGGUUAAGUCCCGCAAACGAGCGCAACCCUUGUCGUUAGUUACUACCAUUAAGUUGAGGACUCUAGCGAGACUGCCUGGGUUAACCAGGAGGAAGGUGGGGAUGACGUCAAAUCAUCAUGCCCCUUAUGUGUAGGGCUACACACGUGCUACAAUGGCUGGUACAGAGAGAUGCAAUACCGUGAGGUGGAGCCAAACUUUAAAACCAGUCUCAGUUCGGAUUGUAGGCUGAAACUCGCCUACAUUGAAGCUGGAGUUACUAGUAAUCGCGAAUCAGAAUGUCGCGGUGAAUACGUUCCCGGGUCUUGUACACACCGCCCGUCACACCAUGAGAGUUGGCAAUACCCGAAGUCCGUGAGCUAACCGCAAGGAGGCAGCGGCCGAAGGUAGGGUCAGCGAUUGGGGUGAAGUCGUAACAAGGUAGCCGUAGGAGAACCUGCGGCUG
rnacentral:rRNA from 1 species